UACGGAGGGGGCUAGCGUUGUUCGGAAUUACUGGGCGUAAAGGGCUCGUAGGCGGCCUAGCAAGUCAGACGUGAAAUCCCAAAGCUUAACUUUGGAACUGCGUCGGAUACUGGAUGGCUUGAAUUCGGGAGAGGGAUGCAGAAUUCCAGGUGUAGCGGUGAAAUGCGUAGAUAUCUGGAGGAAUACCGGUGGCGAAGGCGGCACCCUGGACCGAAAUUGACGCUGAGGAGCGAAAGCUAGGGGAGCAAACAGG
rnacentral:rRNA from 1 species